rnacentral:rRNA from 1 species
CCUACGGGUGGCAGCAGUGAGGAAUAUUGGUCAAUGGACGAGAGUCUGAACCAGUCAAGUAGCGUGAAGGAUGACUGCCCUAUGGGUUGUAAACUUCUUUUAUAUGGGAAUAAAAUGUUCCACGUGUGGGAUUUUGUAUGUACCAUAUGAAUAAGGAUCGGCUAACUCCGUGCCAGCAGCCGCGGUAAUACGGAGGAUCCGAGCGUUAUCCGGAUUUAUUGGGUUUAAAGGGAGCGUAGGUGGAUUAUUAAGUCAGUUGUGAAAGUUUGCGGCUCAACCGUAAAAUUGCAGUUGAAACUGGCAGUCUUGAGUACAGUAGAGGUGGGCGGAAUUCGUGGUGUAGCGGUGAAAUGCUUAGAUAUCACGAAGAACUCCGAUUGCGAAGGCAGUUCACUGGACUGCAACUGACACUGAGGCUCGAAAGUGUGGGUAUCAAACAGGAUUAGAUACCCUAGUAGUC